GGCACCCCCAGCACAGAAGAAGGAGCGCCGUGAGAUGGAGGCUGCGAGGAGAGCCUUGCUUGCUGAUGAGGAGGCGCAUCGGAUCAGAGUUGCAGAGUCGGCUGCUGGGGCAUCUAGCUCCAAAGAUGUGGAGACAGUAGGAGGCACUACUGAUAGUGCUGUUGCUGAUGAGGACACUAUUGAGGGUGUUCAUACUACAUAUGAAAUGGGUUUCGGGGACUCGGACGCACCAGCUUGCUGAUCGCCAGUGCUUUGCGCCCCAGUGACUGGUAAUGUAAGUAGCUGUAUUUGCUAAAUGUUUUAGCGACGAAAUGAAUGUCCCAUCGAUCCCUUUCAGAAGUGAAUAUCUUC
rnacentral:misc_RNA from 1 species